rnacentral:rRNA from 1 species
AUGAACGCUGGCGGCGUGCCUAAUCCAUGCAAGUCGAGCGAACAGAUGAGGAGCUUGCUCCUCUGACGUUAGCGGCGGACGGGGGAGUAACACGUGGAUAACCUACCUAUAAGACUGGGAUAACUUCGGGAAACCGGAGCUAAUACCGGAUAAUAUAUUGAACCGCAUGGUUCAAUAGUGAAAGACGGUUUUGCUGUCACUUAUAGAUGGAUCCGCGCCGCAUUAGCUAGUUGGUAAGGUAACGGCUUACCAAGGCAACGAUGCGUAGCCGACCUGAGAGGGUGAUCGGCCACACUGGAACUGAGACACGGUCCAGACUCCUACGGGAGGCAGCAGUAGGGAAUCUUCCGCAAUGGGCGAAAGCCUGACGGAGCAACGCCGCGUGAGUGAUGAAGGUCUUCGGAUCGUAAAACUCUGUUAUUAGGGAAGAACAAAUGUGUAAGUAACUAUGCACGUCUUGACGGUACCUAAUCAGAAAGCCACGGCUAACUACGUG